GUUUCCGUGGCUAAGUCGGGAGAACGCCCGACUACGUUUCGGUAUAACCCGGGUUCGAGCCCCGAUGAAGGCA